rnacentral:rRNA from 1 species
UACGUAGGGUGCGAGCGUUGUCCGGAAUUAUUGGGCGUAAAGAGCUUGUAGGCGGUUUGUCGCGUCUGCUGUGAAAAUCCGGGGCUCAACCCCGGACUUGCAGUGGGUACUGGCAGGCUAGAGUGUGGUAGGGGAGACUGGAAUUCCUGGUGUAGCGGUGAAAUGCGCAGAUAUCAGGAGGAACACCGAUGGCGAAGGCAGGCCUCUGGGCCACUACUGACGCUGAGAAGCGAAAGCAUGGGGAGCGAACAGG